GCGGGGGACGAGGGCGGAACCCACGCCUCCUGCUUGGCCAGGUCAGCCAGCCAGAUGGCCAUUGAAAUUUAGGGUGGGGUGAAGCCAAAUUGCCCAGGCUGCCUGCUUGGCCAGUGGUACCCGGUGGUGGCUCCCUGUAGACCCAGGCCUGACCCAGCUUCCUCCUCUGUCCCUGCUGUCCCCACACCUACUCAGAUACCCAUAAACGAGGGAGGCCAGCACAGUCCUCCGGGGGCAGGGGCAGGGCAGGCCCCAGGCAGCCACACUCCUGAGCAACACCAGCGACGCCUGGGUGUGUCCCUUCCCAGGGGCCCCAAACACCCAUGGCAAAGCCUCCAUCUUAUUCUCUCCAAUGUUAAUCUUCUCCCCAAAAUCCAAUAUGCAUUUUCAUUGUACAUCGUGUGGGAAAUAACAAAAACUAUCACCGCAUUACCUUCGGUUUAUCGGUAAGAAUUUUCAUAUAUUUCACUGAAGUGUUUUCUUUCUCUAGAUACAUAUGGAGGGAGCUAUAUAUGGAGAUAAAUGUCGCUUUUUUUUUAAAAAAAUAAAAUUGGCAUCCUAUAGUA